CCGUCCUCCAGCCCGUUGCAGGCUGCUCCAUCGACCUCGGUGGUUCCUGUGUCCCGACCACAUACACGCAGUCGCAGUGGCAUUUUCAAACCUAAGGAACGUAAGGAUGGUACGGUUGCUUGGUUGGCUGCUUGUUUGGCUGCUGCUGUUGCGGAUCCAUCUUCUGAGCCUCGCUCAUAUCAGGCUGCCCUGCGCAUUCCACAUUGGCGAGAGGCUAUGGAGCAGGAGUUUCAUGCUCUUCUUUGUAACAAGACAUGGACUCUCGUUCCUCCACCACCACGGGUAAAUGUUAUUGACUCAAAAUGGGUAUUCAAAGUGAAGAAGCAUUCGGAUGGAUCUAUUGAGCGUUACAAAGCGCGACUUGUUGCUCGCGGUUUUCGGCAGCGUCAUGGUCUUGACUAUGAGGACACCUUCAGUCCUGUCGUCAAGCCUACCACUAUUCGGCUUCUUCUCUCCAUUGCUGUUUCUCGUGGUUGGUCACUUCGUCAACUUGAUGUGCAGAAUGCUUUUCUA
rnacentral:rRNA from 1 species